rnacentral:tRNA from 1 species
GCGGGUGUGGUGGAAUAGGCAGACACAAGGGACUUAAAAUCCCUCGGACUUAACAUCCGUGCCGGUUCAAGUCCGGCCACCCGCA